rnacentral:rRNA from 1 species
UAAUCAUUUGUCUAUUAAUUGUAGACCAGUAUGAAAGGCAAAAUGAGGGUCCGUCUGUCUCUUACAAUAAAUCAAUUAAACUGAUCUCCUAGUAAAAAAGCUAGAAUCCACACACAAGACCAGAAGACCCUGUGAAGCUUAAACUAAACUAUUAAACCCUAUAAUACCUACUUUCGGUUGGGGCGACCUUGGAAAAAAAAAGAACUUCCAAAUAUAUGACCACACUCAUACACAGGCCUACAAGCCUUAUAUAGACCCAGUAUAGCUGAUAAUUGAACCAAGUUACUCCAGGGAUAACAGCGCUAUCUUCUUCAAGAGUCCAUAUCAAAAAGAAGGUUUACGACCUCGAUGUUGGAUCAGGACAUCCUAAUGGUGCAACCGCUAUUAAGGGUU